UGCGCAGGCGGGCUUGUAAGUCAGUGGUGAAAUUCUGCCGCUUAACGGUAGAACUGCCAUUGAUACUGCAAGUCUUGAAUAUGGUUGAGGUAGGCGGAAUGUGUUGUGUAGCGGUGAAAUGCAUAGAUAUGACACAGAACGCCAAUUGCGAAGGCAGCUUACUAAGCCAUUAUUGACGCUGAGGCACUAAAGCGUGGGGAGCGAUCAGGAUUAGAUACCCUGGUAGUCC
rnacentral:rRNA from 1 species